rnacentral:rRNA from 1 species
CCUACGGGUGGCAGCAGUGGGGAAUAUUGGGCAAUGGAGGAAACUCUGACCCAGCAACGCCGCGUGAAUGAUGAAGGUCUUCGGAUUGUAAAGUUCUUUUCUAAGGGAAGAAGAAAGUGACGGUACCUUAGGAAUAAGCCUCGGCUAACUACGUGCCAGCAGCCGCGGUAAUACGUAGGGGGCAAGCGUUAUCCGGAUUUACUGGGUGUAAAGGGAGCGUAGACGGCGGGGCAAGCCUGGAGGGAAAGGCCGGGGCCCAACCCCGGGACCGAUCUGGAAACGGCCCGGCUGGGGUGCGGGGAGGGUAAGCGGAAUACCGGGUGUAGCGGUGAAAUGGGUAGGUAUUAGGGGGAACACCGGCGGCGAAGGCGGCUUACGGAACCGGGACUGACGUUGGGGCUCGAAGGCGUGGGGGGCAAACAGGAUUAGAUACCCGUGUAGU